rnacentral:rRNA from 1 species
GACGAACGCUGGCGGCGUGCUUAACACAUGCAAGUCGAGCGAUGAAGUUUCUUCGGAAAUGGAUUAGCGGCGAACGGGUGAGGAACACGUGAAGAAUCUGCCCUCCACUUUGGGAUAACACCGGGAAACCGGUGCUAAUACCGAAUAUUGAAACAUAAGUGGCAUCACUGAGUUUUGAAAGAAUUUCGGUGGAGGAUGACUUCGCGGCCUAUCAGCUAGUUGGUGAGGUAAUGGCUCACCAAGGCAACGACGGGUAGCCGGCCUGAGAGGGCGACCGGCCACACUGGGACUGAGACACGGCCCAGACUCCUACGGGAGGCAGCAGUGGGGAAUAUUGGGCAAUGGAGGAAACUCUGACCCAGCGACGCCGCGUGCGGGAUGAAGGCCUUCGGGUUGUAACCGCUUCAGCAGGGAAGAAGCGAAAGUGACGGUACCGUGCAGAAGAAGCACCGGCUAACUAUGUG